rnacentral:rRNA from 1 species
GAGUUUGAUCAUGGCUCAGAUUGAACGCUGGCGGCAUGCCUUACACAUGCAAGUCGAACGGCAGCACGGGAGCUUGCUCCUGGGUGGCGAGUGGCGAACGGGUGAGUAAUGCAUCGGAACGUAUCCUGGAGUGGGGGAUAACGUAGCGAAAGUUACGCUAAUACCGCAUAUUCUGUGAGCAGGAAAGCGGGGGGACCUUCGGGCCUCGCGCUCUUGGAGCGGCCGAUGUCGGAUUAGCUAGUUGGUGAGGUAAAGGCUCACCAAGGCGACGAUCCGUAGCAGGUCUGAGAGGAUGAUCUGCCACACUGGAACUGAGACACGGUCCAGACUCCUACGGGAGGCAGCAGUGGGGAAUUUUGGACAAUGGGGGCAACCCUGAUCCAGCCAUGCCGCGUGAGUGAAGAAGGCC